GACCGCGUAGCUCAGUUGGCAGAGCGUUGGGCUAGUAUUCCAAAGGUCGUAGGUUCAAUUCCCACCGUGGUCA
rnacentral:tRNA from 1 species